rfam:Otolemur garnettii contig013645, whole genome shotgun sequence.
UUUGAGGAUUUUUUAAAAUCCACUUAUAUUCAAUAUUAUGAUUGAU